UACAGAGGUCCCAAGCGUUGUUCGGAUUCACUGGGCGUAAAGCGUGCGCAGGCGGUGAGCUGUGUCCGAUGUGAAAGCCCCGGGCUUAACCUGGGAAUGGCAUUGGAAACUGGCUCGCUGGAGUGUGGCAGAGGGGGGUGGAAUUCCGCGUGUAGCAGUGAAAUGCGUAGAGAUGCGGAGGAACACCGAUGGCGAAGGCAGCCCCCUGGGCUAACACUGACGCUCAGGCACGAAAGCGUGGGGAGCAAACAGG
rnacentral:rRNA from 1 species